rnacentral:misc_RNA from 1 species
GAUGAAGAACGCAGCGAAAUGCGAUAAGUAAUGUGAAUUGCAGAAUUCAGUGAAUCAUCGAAUCUUUGAACGCACAUUGCGCCCCUUGGUAUUCCGAGGGGCAUGCCUGUUCGAGCGUCAUAUUAACCACUCCCGCUUGCGGGGUCUUGGGCUUCGCCUCCGGGCGGGCCUUAAAAUCAGUGGCGGUGCCGUCGGGCUCUACGCGUAGUAAAUUUUCUCGCGAUAGGGUCCCGGUGGAUGCUUGCCAACAACCCCCAACUUCUUAAGGUUGACCUCGGAUCAGGUAGGGAUACCCGCUGAACUUAAGCAUAUCAAUAAGCGGAGA